rnacentral:rRNA from 1 species
UGCCAGCCGCCGCGGUAAUACGAAGGGUGCUAGCGUUGUUCGGAAUUACCGGGCGUAAAGCGCGCGUAGGCGGCUUUGUAAGUCGGAUGUGAAAGCCCUGGGCUCAACCUGGGAAUUGCAUUCGAUACUGCAUGGCUAGAGUAUGGUAGUGGGAAGUGGAAUUUCCGGUGUAGCGGUGAAAUGCGUAGAUAUCCGGAGGAACAUCAGUGGCGAAGGCGGCUGCCUGGCUCAAUACUGACACUGAGGUGCGAAAGCGUGGGGAGCAAACAGGAUUAGAUA